rnacentral:rRNA from 1 species
AACGAACGCUGGCGGCAUGCCUAACACAUGCAAGUCGAACGAGACCUUCGGGUCUAGUGGCGCACGGGUGCGUAACGCGUGGGAACCUGCCCUUAGGUUCGGAAUAACUCCCCGAAAGGGGUGCUAAUACCGGAUAAUGUCUUCGGACCAAAGAUUUAUCGCCUUUGGAUGGGCCCGCGUUGGAUUAGCUAGUUGGUAGGGUAAAAGCCUACCAAGGCGACGAUCCAUAGCUGGUCUGAGAGGAGGAUCAGCCACACUGGGACUGAGACACGGCCCAGACUCCGACGGGAGGCAGCAGUGGGGAAUAUUGGACGAUGGGCGAAAGCCUGAUCCAGCAAUGCCGCGUGAGUGAUGAAGGCCUUAGGGUUGUAAAGCUCUUUUACCCGGGAUGAUAAUGACAGUACCGGGAGAAUAAGCUCCGGCUAACUCCGUG